GAUGAAUAACGCAGCGAAAUGCGAUAAGUAAUGCGAAUUGCAGAAUUCAGUGAGUCAUCGAAUCUUUGAACGCACAUUGCGCCCUGUGGUAUUCCGCAGGGCAUGCCUGUUCGAGCGUCAUUUCAACCCUCAAGCUCUGCUUGGUGUUGGGCCACGCCCUCGCGGCCGGCCCCAAAGCCAGUGGCGGCGCCGUCCGGCUCUAAGCGUAGUACAUCUCUCGCUCUAGGGCCCGGCGGCUGCCUGCCAGAACCCCAAACUCUUAUGGUUGACCUCGGAUCAGGUAGGGAUACCCGCUGAACUUAAGCAUAUCAAUAAGCGGAGGA
rnacentral:misc_RNA from 1 species